AGAAAACGAAGCUUCUAUGAAAGGACAGAGGUUUACAAAUCAGUUGCGCAUCUAACGUUCCAACCGAUAUUGUGACCUAAAAUGGAGCUAAAAUAUUGGGUAUUUUGGCAAAGUAUCCUUUCCCUCGGAGCACAAAAAAAAACUACAAAUGUGCGGAGUGAAUCACAGGGUAAUAAAAACCCAUUGAUGGGUCAUAAGUGUAUGUACUUGCUUGUCUAAAAGACUCUCCAAA